UAGGGAAUCUUCCACAAUGGGCGAAGCCUGAUGGAGCAACGCCGCGUGAGUGAAGAAGGGUUUCGGCUCGUAAAACUCUGUUGUUAAAGAAGAACAUAUCUGAGAGUAACUGUUCAGGUAUUGACGGUAUUUAACCAGAAAGCCACGGCUAACUACGUGCCAC
rnacentral:rRNA from 1 species